rnacentral:rRNA from 1 species
AUUGAACGCUGGCGGCAUGCCUUACACAUGCAAGUCGAACGGCAGCAUGGAGAGCUUGCUCUCUGAUGGCGAGUGGCGAACGGGUGAGUAAUGCAUCGGAACGUACCGUGUAAUGGGGGAUAACGUAGCGAAAGUUACGCUAAUACCGCAUACGACCUGAGGGUGAAAGCAGGGGAUCGCAAGACCUUGCGUUAUACGAGCGGCCGAUGUCAGAUUAGCUAGUUGGUGAGGUAAAGGCUCACCAAGGCGACGAUCUGUAGCGGGUCUGAGAGGAUGAUCCGGCACACUGGGACUGAGACACGGCCCAGACUCCUACGGGAGGCAGCAGUGGGGAAUUUUGGACAAUGGGGGCAACCCUGAUCCAGCCAUGCCGCGUGAGUGAAGAAGGCCUUCGGGUUGUAAAGCUCUUUCGGCCGGGAAGAAAUCGCACAGGCUAAUACUCUGUGUGGAUGACGGUACCGGCAUAGGAAGCACCGGCUAACUACGUGCCAGCAGCCGCCGUAA